rnacentral:rRNA from 1 species
UACGAAGGGGGCUAGCGUUGCUCGGAAUCACUGGGCGUAAAGCGCACGUAGGCGGCUUACUAAGUCAGGGGUGAAAUCCUGGAGCUCAACUCCAGAACUGCCUUUGAUACUGGUGAGCUUGAGUCCGGAAGAGGUGAGUGGAACUGCGAGUGUAGAGGUGAAAUUCGUAGAUAUUCGCAAGAACACCAGUGGCGAAGGCGGCUCACUGGUCCGGUACUGACGCUGAGGUGCGAAAAGCGUGGGGAGCAAACAGG